rnacentral:rRNA from 1 species
GAUGAACGCUAGCGGCAGGCCUAACACAUGCAAGUCGAGGGGUAGAACACUUCGGUGUUUGAGACCGGCGCACGGGUGCGUAACGCGUAUGCAAUCUACCUUAUACAGGGGAAUAGCCCAGAGAAAUUUGGAUUAAUGCCCCAUAGCAUUACGACUUGGCAUCAAGAUGUAAUUAAAGUUCCAACGGUAUAAGAUGAGCAUGCGUCCCAUUAGUUAGUUGGUAAGGUAACGGCUUACCAAGACAAUGAUGGGUAGGGGUCCUGAGAGGGAGAUCCCCCACACUGGUACUGAGACACGGACCAGACUCCUACGGGAGGCAGCAGUGAGGAAUAUUGGUCAAUGGGCGCAAGCCUGAACCAGCCAUGCCGCGUGCAGGAAGACGGUCCUAUGGAUUGUAAACUGCUUUUAUACAGGAAGAAACAUCCCGACGUGUCGGGACUUGACGGUACUGUAGGAAUAAGGAUCGGCUAACUCCGUGCCAGCCGCCGCCGUAAUAC